rnacentral:rRNA from 1 species
GUGCCAGCAGCCGCGGUAAUACGGAGGAUACGAGCGUUAUCCGGAUUUAUUGGGUUUAAAGGGAGCGUAGACGGGAUGUUAAGUCAGUUGUGAAAGGCUGCGGCUCAACCGCAGCACUGCAGUUGAUACUGGCGUCCUUGAGUGCGGUUGAGGUAUGUGGAAUUCGUGGUGUAGCGGUGAAAUGCUUAGAUAUCACGAAGAACUCCGAUUGCGAAGGCAGCAUACUAAGCCGCUACUGACGUUGAGGCUCGAAAGUGUGGGUAUCAAACAGGAUUAG